rnacentral:lncRNA from 1 species
UAUCAUAUUUUGUUGCUUGUUUAUCCUUGUUUUAAUUAUUUUGAGGAUUUAUCAUCCUUACAAUACACAUAUUGUCUACCUUGUGAUCUUGGGAGAGGGGGCUGAACAAAGUAGGGUUCUUAUUCUUUUGUGAAAUAAGAAAUUCGAAUUAGUGUCUAGGACAGGGAUGUAGCUAGAAGCCUUACUUGAUUCACAAGCAGGAUGAUAUCUUAAAGAACUUAAUUGGAUUAUUACAUUCCCA